rnacentral:rRNA from 1 species
UACGUAGGGGCCUAGCGUUGUCCGGAUUUAUUGGGCGUAAAGAGCGUGUAGGCGGCCAUGUAGGUCCGGUGUGAAAACUCGAGGCUUAACCUCGAGAUGUCAUCGGAAACCAUUUGGCUAGAGUCCGGAAGAGGAGAGUGGAAUUCCUGGUGUAGCGGUGAAAUGCGCAGAUAUCAGGAAGAACACCAAUGGCGAAAGCAGCUCUCUGGGACGGUACUGACGCUGAGACGCGAAAGCGUGGGGAGCGAACAGG